ensembl:tRNA
UGCAAGUGGCUCAAUCGGUUAGAGAGAUGGUUGCCACCCACAAGUCCGGGGUUCGAACCCCGACUGUGG